GACGAACGCUGGCGGCGUGCUUAACACAUGCAAGUCGAACGGUGAAAGAAGAGCUUGCUCUUCUGGAUCAGUGGCGAACGGGUGAGUAACACGUGAGUAACCUGCCCCAGACUCUGGAAUAAGCGCUGGAAACGGCGUCUAAUACCGGAUACGAGACAGAGCUGCAUGGCUACUGUCUGGAAAGUUUUUCGGUCUGGGAUGGACUCGCGGCCUAUCAGCUUGUUGGUGAGGUAACGGCUCACCAAGGCAACGACGGGUAGCCGGCCUGAGAGGGCGAACGGGCACACUGGGACUGAGACACGGCGCAGAAGCCUACGGGACGCAGCGGGGGGGAACAUUGCACAACGGGGGAGAGCCUGAUGCAGCGACGCCGGGUGAGGGAAACCGGGCUUCGGGUGGUGAACCACUUUCAACAGGGAAGAAGCGAAAGUGACGGUACCUGAAGAAAAAGCAACGGCUAACUACGUG
rnacentral:rRNA from 1 species